GAUGGCGUGUCUUACAUCUUAGUUGCAGUACUCAAACGCGUAAGGAAAGAAAAGGGGUCAAACAAAAGGGGGGGUUAAGUCGGCCUCAGGGGGGGGGUUAGAACCCCCGAAUCCACCCCCGUCGGUGCGCCACUGUCACACUGUCAUUCUUAUUUUAUUUUUCGUACUUUGUUCCGACUUUGUAAAAUGUCCAAAGGGCCAGGGUAUCCAAGCUCUGUCUUAAGCAGUUUAAUGCCAUUGCCAAAGUUGAUUAAUGGGGCUUGACUUCUUGCUUACUUUUUGGCAUGGCUUGAUUGACUGUUUCAUUAUUUUAUUGCCAGUUCUAUGUUUGUGUCGUGAUUAUAGUGCUCUGGAGCUUUCAAUGUGAGCUUUACAGGUGACCCUGUCUUUUACCUAGUGCUUGUAUGUGCGUUCGAGUUCAUUGUCAUUUCUGGUAUUCUGCAUUGUUUUGCAUUGUGCUCUUCAGCUUUUUAUUGGUGAUCCUAUUUUUGCUUACUUUACCCAUUACUUCUUUUUUCCCUUUCCUGUUUUUUUGUAGCAAUGUAUUUUUGCUGGGCCUGUCAGCAUUUUAAAUAAUACUAUUUUUAAUGCUUUACCAUAUGCUGCGUGCUUUUGUGUUGAAAAACAGUGUUUGCUACUUGUAGCAGUCUGUUUCAUGUUGUGCUCGGUGGGUUUCUUCAAUUUUGUUUUCAUGGUCCGAUUUUUUGCUCGCUUUUGUAUUGCGCUCUAUGCCUUAGUUGCCCUGUUAACAGGCACAGAGAGGCAGUGUCGGUGUAGUGAUUACUUUACAACUGGUAAACAUACUUGACUGUGUGAUUGGUUUGGUUGUUUGACCAUCACGCAGAGGCCUUUGCUGUCGGCCUUGUUCAUUAGUUUCCGAUUGGUGCGUGUCAUUUUGCCAGCCUGUGCAUUUCAAGCGCACACCUCACUUGACCUUUUUUACAUCAGCACAAAUAGCUGCCUUGUUUUUGUUGUCUUCCCCCAUAGGCACCCUCUAUGCAACACACUUUAUAGCUUUGUGCAAACUGAUGCUUAUCAUAUCCAGGCAGAGAUGUGCCUCUUUACCAUCCCCUAAGGGCUUUGUGGAUAUUACCACAUAUGGAAAGGUGUACAUGCAAAUUACGGACAUAUAAAUUCGGGGUUGACGUCGAUUAUGUUGAUGCCAUUGUAAAACGAGGAAGGACUGUAAUUGUAGAUCUCAAUAUAUAAUCCAUCGGGUGCCUUGGUUUGUGUAUUUCAGCUUUGUUUUAGGUGCAGUUUUAAUUAUUUUUAUCAGUUUUAUAUUACCCAAAAGGCUUUUAUUUCCCCUUUGCUUCAUAUUAUUUGAAUACACAUUAUUUGAAGGAAAGCAUAAUUUGUAGGAUUGUGCUAGAAUACUGGAAGAUGGGAUUUUUUGCUGCUAAAGGGUACUAAAAAUACAAGAUCAAAGAAACUAGACAAACAUAUGAUCUCAAGUGUAACUUCUUUUGGUCCCCUGGCCCAUGGCAUUUAAACCUGACAGAAUUUCCCGCCCCUUUGUUUGUGCAUGCGUGUGUGCAUGCAUGCGUGUGUGUGUGCAUGCGUGUACAUGUAGAAGGACAUGAAACAAUCAGUUCAGCCAGCCCACUUAGUAUUUCUGCAGCAAAGUGCAAUGAAUAGUUAAUUUUCACUCGAAUGAAGAACAGCUUUUUCGUAGUGUGCAUAUGUUCUUGGAUUUUUUCUGCCUUUCUCAUAAAUACUUUAGGCUCCAGCUAAGAUUAUUUGUUAUUUGUGCAUUGAAAUGGAAUCACAGUGCCAGGAAAUAUCCACAGGGGUAACCUUCCUCAUGAGCUCUUAUUUUUGUCAAUUUAGCGCUGGCUUCAUCUGCUGCCCCUAUAGAUUAGUAGUCAGUAGUUGUAAACCACUUUAUAAACAUGCAUCACAAGGAAAAUACCCAUGCCACACGGGCGCGAAAAAUGACAUUAAUUGCUUAAUGCUUUCCAAGUUUGAGACCAUUCACGCGGUGCCACACGGAAAUACUUAAUGGUGUCAGAACUUAAUGCCAUUUACGACAUUGUGUUUUCUUCCAUCUCAUUCAGCUGUCGAAUGCGUACUCUAGCUCGCAGUUUUUUUUUUUUUUUUUUGUUAAAUACAUAUAUUUUUUAUGAUUCAAAACAAGCUUACUGCUUUCACCUCUGCUAUCAUUAUAGUGUUCAAUGUCAUUAAGAAUGCUCGUGUAGCACCAACUUUAGAUUUAGACACUUAAUGACAUUAACUCUUCCGUGUGGCAUGGGUAUUUGGUUCAUAGAGUGCCAAACUACACAAAAACCUCUGCAGGCACUGUUUGUAGUGUGGUUGAAGACUUCAUUGCCAUCACCACCAGCAGCUAAAUCGAGUCCACUGCAUGAUAUUUGAGCGUUUUGUAACUAAAAAUUAUGAAAGGUAGUAAAUGAGUUGACUGGGUUACAAUGUAAUAGCAAUGUAAUCGUUUUUUUUUUUUUUUUUCAUCGACGCCAGUUUUUACACACCUUAUCAGACCACCUAUUUAAUAAAAAAAAUGUCAGAACUUCUGUAUGGAUCAGACCAUUGCUUUUGCUGGCAUUCACAAAAGAAAGUGUUUGUGGCUCCCAAUCUCUAAAUUUCGGAUGCAAGCAACUUGUCUCAUGUCUAUCCUGUACUGGCCCUGCCAAGCAUUAUAUGCAGUUAGUGUCUGAUAGUGCUGUUUACAUUUUUCAUGUGGUGCUGAUAUGCAAGUCCAAAUUUGGCCCAUAACAGCACGUCAUAGAGUGAUAAUCUCUAGUUUGCAAGAUUUAGUGCCAGUGAUUUGCCUGUCUACUCGUAGUUCUCUCUUACACAGCCCAUAUGAAACUAGGAAGUGUCUUCUGUAAACAUUGCACCAUUACAGAUUGCUUUUCUCAGACUGUGUCAUAAAAAAAAAGAAAAAAAAAAAAAGCUGGGAUUUAGAAAGCAUUCUUGGGUCUGUGAGAAGUGUCCUGCCUACAUGUGCACCAAGUUGAAGGCUUGUAAUGCGCUGUCAUUGCUCCAAAGUGUAGUGGUGCUGAACAGUUCAUGCUCCAGCUAAAAUUGGCAAAUUAGAAUUGGGAGGCAGGAUGUUAAGUGACAUUUGUGUUUGAGGCUCUGGGUAUGCCUUCAGUUCUCGGAACUGGCUUAAAAAUAAGGCUGCAAUAUUUGAUUUGCCGGGCAUCGGUGCAUUGGCCAUCCUUCUAUUUUUAAAUGCAAUAGCAUUUAUUCUUUCGGGCUGCACAUUGGUUGCAGGGGUUGAAGGUAACAAAAUAGUUGGCUGAUGUUUGGCUGCAGUGGAGCUAGAAGAGAGAAGUGGUCAGGAGCAUGUGGGCUGCCUGCCUUUUCUGUGCUUGUACCAUUUUCUUUGUGUGUCAAUUUCGCCCAGACAUUUGUGCAUACGAAGCUUCAUUGCCUGCUGUACGAGAGCAUUCAGGGGAAAAUCUCUCAUCUCUGCUUCAUUUUUUAUCAUGGGGCCACUGGCAGGGCUAGUGAGCUCAUGAUGGAGCUGAGCAUGAUGAGAAUCUUGAUUAUGUGACAGAGGGGUUAACACAUUCACCUUUAUAGACUUUGUUAUGUCAUUUUGUUUCCACCAGAUAGAUAGGUACUUUCACAUUAAUGUUUUUUUCUCUUUUAUUAGUUCUGUGACAUCUGUGCAGUAUGAUAAUUUAUGUACUUUGAUCAAGAGAUGAAUGAAUGCAUACCCCUCUGCUUGUCACUCGUGCUGUUGUGCCUGUUACAUGUACAAAUUAUCCCGUGACCUGCCUGCUUAGAGUGCAUGUUGGAUGGCAUGUGGUUUUUAUAUAAUGUGAUGUGUGGACACUAGGAGACAUGUUUAGUCUUGUGUACAGUUAGAUUUGUAGAAUUGUUUAUUGAAAAUAUCUGAAAGUGUCAAAUGGGACUGAAACGUUGGUUGCUGUGGGCAUGUUUACUUUCUCAUUAGGGAGCUGUUGAAUGUGUCCUCCAUUGUGCUGCAAACUGUGACUUGGCAAAAAUGGCAUGUGAAAUUUUCUUCUUUUUGCUGUUGUCUGUACUGAUUUUGACUUCAGAUAAUCCGAGGCAAUUCGCAUCGGCAGUCAAUACAAGCAAAACUAUGCUUAUUGGUGUUUAACUCCUUGUUUUCUUUAUUUAAAUGGAGCUUAUUCACCUUCUUGUUGUCACAAUCACAUGCGUGAUGCCCAACUGGGGGCUAGCCUGGUGUGCGGAUGGCUGUUGCCAGCAUUUUGAAUGUGUGUGUGCAUGUGUGGGAGAGAGAGAGAAACUUGUUAAAAACCCGAAAAUGAGUGCCUGCUUCUUUUGCACAUCUUGCCAUCACUUUCAUUUCAUUGAUUCCUGUUUUAGUAUGAAAGUGCAGAGGGGUGAUUGUUGACACUAAGGCCUCCGCACAAAGUGACCCGGGAAUGUUCUUGUCUGCUUGUAUCCGAGCGUGUGCAUUCUUCUUAAACCCAGUUUAAAAGAUGUGGCUGCCCUUACAAUUGUUCUCACUGAUUAACCCCUUUUUCUUCUAUUUGGUGCCAUACUUGUCAUGACUGACCGGAUCGCUGUAUGGACACGCGAGUAAAUCGCAGGUUCAAUCUCUUCGCACACCUCUACUCAGGACUGUGGUCAAGCAUCGGGUGGUUUGCUAUCUCUCUUUUUGGCGCUUUCUCAUUACCUCUUUAUCAUUUGUUUCCUAAUAGUGUUUUUUAGCUAAUUAGCAAGAUUCAUGUCAUUCUUAUCCAUGGUUGGGGGUUUUCCUUUGUCAUCUUCUGCUCCUCCUGUCAGUGUAGCUUUUCUUGGACAGUUCCGUCAGCUCCGUUCCUAUUGCUCUUGUGCUGGCCAAUAGGGGUAUCAUUGCGGAACAUUGGACAUAUCUGGGCCACUUCCAGAAGAUAAGAAAUUCAUUAGUCUGACUACAGAGGUAUUCUCCGCUUUUUCUUUAUACCAGGCCUGUGCACAAGGCCUUCUCAAGUGCUCUGUGUUUGCUGCAAAUUCGGUGAGCUUGUUCAUACCUUCCCUCUUCAAGCCAAGUCGUACAUAUACUGGAUAUGCUUUCAGUGGCAGGGGCAGUUUUGGCCUUUUGGUGUGGAAGCAUUGUGGGGGAGCAAAUUCCGACUGAGUCAGUAAUUACCUUUGCUGGGUCAGUCAAACCUACUGUAAACAAGGCCUGGCACCUAGUCUAUCUUCAGUGCCUCAAGUGUUGGUGAUGUUGACAUAGCAUUAAAGGUGGUUGAUUUUCUCCCUGAUGCCGCACUUGCUAUUAGAAUCACAAUUCGGGUUACCCUAAAUCUGGGUUAGAAAGGUACUGUCUUUUCUGCAGAGCUAGGCCUGUGCUGCUUUGCAAAGGCAUGGGAAGUUUAAAUUAUUGAAAUCGUUGAACAAAGUUCUUGCUUCCGUCGAGAAACUAUUGCUGAGGUUCAGGCAAGAAACUCGUGACUGCACCGUUGCACAGCCCGUUAGCCCUGAGGAGCAGAUGUGGCCCUUCCUCAGUCCCUUGCUGAUGCAGUAGAAAGGGCUAUGUAAAUGAUAUGGAACUUUUGCAUUAAACCUGGUGUGACUUCUGAAAUUUCUGAUCAUCCACAUUCCUUGCAUGAUAAAAUAUAAACCAUUCCCUUGCCCUCAAUGUUCACUAUGCAGGUCCAUUUACUGCUCUUAACUGGCCUCGGUCAGGAUGCCUCACUAAUGAUGUGCAUGAUUAUGAUGAUGUGGACAUGGAUCCCUGCUCCCGCGUGUGCUCUCAGAUCCCCUCUUAUCUGAGAAUAUUCACUCUUAUUCAAUUGACUAAAAAUUAUGUGACAGACAACCUUUCAAAGGAAUGUAUUUUAAAUUGGGAAGUCUCUCGUUUAAUCUUUCCCUACCAUAGUGUCUCUCAAAAUAUUGCCAACCGAUUCAUUCUGCAGCAACAGACUUAUAUCUGGCUCCUUAGUUUUCUCCCGACAUUGUUGUGUUACUGAAAACUUGUUUUAUCUGUUCAAACAUUUCAAUUGAAGAACUCUUGCUUUUUUAGCUUAAGUGGAGGCCUAGUGUUCAUUCUAAAAUAAUAUUAGUCUUAAGACAGAUAUAUCGGUGUAUGUCUAACUGCUAAAGUUUUGUCAUAAGCAUAAGCUAACAAUAUUGUUUGGUGUUAAAUUAUUUCUCUGUCAAUGUGCAAGAUACCUGCUGUGGAAGCAACCAUCAGUCACAUCAUGCACGAAAAAAGCUUUUCAUUCUUCACUCGGAUGACCUUGGUAUGCGUUCAUUGCUGAUCCUUACUUCCUUUUGUCGCUUAUUGGCCUUAAGUUCAUGCAUCUCAGAUGGUGCAUCAAAAUCUUUAAUCUUCAAUCAAAAUCUUUAAGAUUGAGUUUUAUGACAUUUUUGUCACAAAAUGAUAAGGUUCAGUGAUUCUGGUAUCUAAAUAUAAACCAAUAUUACCUUGCUUGUAUUGUUAUAGCUACUGGUGCUUCAUUGUGUGAGAAGGCUGGGGUAGGUAUUUUCUCCCCUUUGCCGGUCUUCUCCUUUAUGGCUUCCGAAUUUCACUCCCAUCUUGGAAACUGAGCUUGGUGACUACCAUAUUUAUUAGAAAAUAGGUUGAACACGAAUAUAGGUUGGCCCAUAUCUUUUUAGAAAAACAUAAGCUGCAAGGAACUGCCAGAGAUGUCGUCCUCAUCGGAUGCUUUGCAGCUGUCCUUGGCACCCCAAACACGUUGUCGUAAGUGCCAUUGAGUGCAUUGGAUAUGCACCAUUUCUUAAAGCAGGUGUGGAUAAUCUCCAGACUAGCUUUAUGCCGGGAACGAUGGAGGAACUCCAUUCGCUGGAUACUUUUGGUAAUUUUUUUUCACAAAUAGGUUGACAUUCUUUAGUCACGGAUCUAGAUUGAUAGCUCAUUUUGGGUAACAUUUUCAAGAAAAACAGGUCGACCUAUAUUCGAGUAAGUUAGGUAUGUAUUUUCGCAUUGACUGCUCUUAAGAGAUCAUUUUCUUUCAGUUUGUUCUUUGCUGUACUCACAACAUCCUCAAAUUCAGCUGUCUUGGGGGCAUUCCUCUUAUUCAUUCCCCAACCCUUACUUCUUGUUAGAAUAUUAUGAGCUCCUGGCAACUGUGGGUUAUACUCAAAUAAAAUGGCUGAUUCAGUAGUGCGAGCAUCUCUCAAUGAACUAUUAUGCCAGCUCUGGCUUAUGUCACCUCAAUUAGGUAAAGAAAAUUUUAAAUAUCUAGCAAUUUCAUCAAACCAUCAAUGAUGUUCUCUGACUUUCAGCAUGUUUUUUAUUAUUAUGGAAGAUUCCCUGGUACCCCUAAGACAUCUCGAGGUUUCAUUUGCAAGGUCAUGUUGCCAUGUCCACCUUUGUCUAGUAUUUAUACAGACCUGAUAUGGUGCCGUUCCUCUGUGUUGUUUCUGUAGCGAAAAGCAAUCGAUUGACCAUUGCUUUUUAUUCUCUUGUGGAUUUAUUCAAAGAAAAAUGCUUCUUGAAGCUUCACACUACUUUGAAAACUUUGUUUGGAACUAAGUUUAGGCUCACUCUCCUUUGGAGCAUCGGCACUAGGUUCUAGCUGCAGGGAUGUUUGAUACUGUAUUCGAUUUUAUACAAGCUAUAAAACAUUAGCAUAUAAAUUUUUUUCUUUAUUUUCACUAUUAUCUUUUUUCCAAGUUCUUCGUGGUCUGAAUUGUUUAAUGAAUUCUCUUUUAAAUUUAUUGGCUAUUUAUUUUGUCUGAUUACUCAGAUGCACAAUUCUUUCAUUUCCAGUUUUCAUUUUUUCUACCUUUUUAUUUUCUGUAUCUUUAUUGCAUUUCUUCCAACUGCCCGAUUCUUGGGCCCCAUCCCCCAUUUGUGGGUACGUGCCAUGUUUGAGGCUCAACAAGAACAUUUUGCACAAAGUACUGCUAGCUGGCACACAACUAGUGGGCAUGUUAUUGAAAGCGCACUCAAGAAGGCAUUGCACACCGAUCAAAGAAGUAGAAACUGAGCAAGUGAUACACUGGGCAGUACUGGAUUGGAGCUAGAGAGGCACUUGCUCCAUGGCACAUACAGGAUGCAUUCUACAUAACCAAGCAAAAGUGGAGGAGUAUAAGGCUGGUCAUUCAUUAGAAGUUCCUCUUACGAAGGGUGAUAACCUUGGAGGAUGCAAUCAUUAUUUACAUUGGUCAGUAUGUAGGUCUUUGACGAGGAGUGAAGCAGAUUCCCGAGGCUGUGAGGACUGUAUUAUUGGCGGGAAUGAACAUUUUGCCUUGCAGACUUUAUUGACAUGCUAUACUACCGUUCAACAGAGGAGCAGUGAGUGGUACCAAAUUAUUGCUUCCAGGAUUUGGCAAGAUGUUGGCAACCAGACAAAAGAAAAUGUACCUGCUCGGAUAGAAGUAGACGAAGAUUAUGGGCAGUGGUGUGAUCCUAGGUUUCUUUGCAAGCAAAUUUGCCAGUGUCUGCGUGGAAAGCUUUGUGCCAACCAUGCUUGAUGCUCGUGGUGGUGCCAUAUGUGUGGCGGUGUACAGUAACAUUGCAAGAGUCGAAUCUUUUCACCUGUGGCGGAAACGCAGGUCGCCCACUGUGUCAUGGUCGGCUGCAGAAUGGGUGACCUUCAGGGACGUACGCCAGCCAUAGCUGUCACUCGUACGUGUGCCUGUGCGUGUAUGUGUGUGUAUAUGUGCGCAUGCGUGCAUUGCUGUUGGAACUGGGACAAUGCCUCGCCGCUCACUAACUCGGCUGUUGCGAAGAAGGGACAGCAGGCGGCCCACUUACCAGUGCACCGAGUGAUGACGCAACGAUAACGUUCCUACGGACGUUACUUGACUGCGACGUGAUUGGUUCGCCGUUUUCUGUGAAGUGGGAGGGGCUUCAGGACUGCUGCACGUGAGUCGCCGCUUUCACUGGGCGGUGUGAAGUGUCAUCUGCUAGCUACAUUUAAGGUGGUUGCUGGCCUUCGUAAAAUACGGCUGGGGAACUCUUGUUGACAAAUGUGCUUUGCGAACACUUUAUUUUUGGCUGCGUUUUCUGUUUAUAGCGCGAGUGUUUGUUGACCAGUUUUGUGAAAGAGGGUCGCAGUCGCACGGACAGUUUGUGUCGCGACCAGCCAGUCGGCUGUUUUGAUGUGCAAAGAGUUAAGCAGGGGCUUUCAAAAACUCGCGAAUGACCUGCCUCGUAGAGUGAAGCAUUGUUUGCGUGUGCAUGGUAGGAGCGAACGCGUUGUGUUGUUCGAUAUGGUCCCGCCGUGGCCGACUAAAGAAGUCAAAAUAGGUUUUACCCUCCCCUUUACUAUGUUUUUUCUCGUGUGUAGGAACGGCAUGUUUGGGCAGUGCGCGAUAUUUAGUCAUGUUAUCGCGACAGGUUUUUGCACUUGUUUAGUCCGCGAAGUGAUGCUGGCAACCAUCACGCAAGAGAUGCACAUUGCGAAAGAGGGCAGUUCUUUGCAGGCCUGUGCUCUAAUCGACGUCACACGCAGAAGUAGCUGAAAGGCAAAGCGCUGCCAUAUAUGUCCAAAAUCGCCAUUGUGGCCUGCACUGUGGAGUUGGAUUGUGAUUCCGUCUCAUUAGCUCUCCAUUUGCAGCUAAGUGCCCAGACAACACAAACCAUCUCGUGGAUGUCCCAGAAAGAUCCGAAUGUCCUAACUUUUUAUGGGACGUACUGAGGACGUCCACAGCACCAUGCCCAGAGUGAAAUUUAAACACAUCUGCUGGACUUAUCAUGAACCUAACUUGACAUAUAUCCGAGCAACAUCCUCAGUAGGAUAUUCUCGGGUUGUUGCUUCCAGAUAUGCUUAUUUGGGAGUGUCAUGCUUGCCCAAACGAAAUUGGGUAUAACCAAAAACGAAAUACAAAUGGCACACUGCAAAAAAAAAAAAAAUCUUCAUAGUAGACUAUUUUGUUUUAACAUUAUUAUUAUUAUUAUUCUUGUUAUUAUAACAUUAUUAUUAGUCAUGUCUAAAGCGCACCUUUCACCGACGGUUCUCUUGAAGCAAAAGCAGAUCUCAAAGGCUAUGCUAUUGUAAAUACGUAGAUGGUGCUGCACCUGAGGUAGUUCGUUUGAUACCGAAUUGCUUUUUAAUGGUGGCAAGAAACACGCAAAAUUUCUGAGAUUUCAGAGCACAUGAAAGCGCACAAAUAUCAAAACGGAGCCCUACUGGGCGAAGGAUUCAAUGUCAUCCACAUGUGUAUCCCUGUCUCUGUUGCUCGGCAUAGGGAUUUUUAUUCUCCGAGUACGCAUUGGAAACUUUCGCAAUCUUUCGACACUAUUACCUUGAGAUUGUGCCGCGCUUAGGGGCCCGUAUUGCUGCACGAAACUAGCGAGACGGAGUCUAGCGAGAAAUGUAGCCGUAUUGCCUGCAUACCGGGUGGCGGUGGUUGCGCUAUGCGCCGCCCGGCUUGCCUAACCUAAACCUAAACACCGAAAUUCUGAUUAUGCAAGCGGAAACUUUACUCUGGGUGCACCGUAUUUCCUCUCGACGGUUCGCACACGUUUUGACCUGCCAAAUCGUGCACCGAGAGCAUUCGCACAGUGGCGUUUCUUCUUCUUUUUUUUUUUUUUCAAAAAAUCUGCAGCGUUAGUCAUUUUUCUGUUGGCAAAGUAACGUCAAGGCAACCGGCAGCGUGCCGAUUGGCACAGUGCGCUUUCUACAUGGCAGUGCCGCAAAGUGAUGACACGGGAGGUCGUAAAAACGGAGCAGUGGCACCUCUGUGCCCGCAGGCGCCGCGCAUCCGAAACCAUCUCGCCUGAUUUUGCGCGAAGGGUUUGCGGUGCGUUCACGACAGUAAGCAGCGUAGACGCCGUCACUGCUUCAGCAGCCGAUGUUUCUACGAUGGCAGCGAAUCGCGAUUAAGCUGGUUUGUGUACACGUGUGUACUCUUGGGUUGCUUGGUUUCUGAGGGACAGGUGCGAGCUGAUGGAUCGUGCCGGUUGCGGCGCAACCAAGGGCUGGUUAUGAAGACGCCUACUAUUUACGGCAACAGACGCCGGCAUUGCCUUCGGCACGUAGUGCACGCCCGGUUCGGUGGUAUAGAUUACACUAUCAGCUGCAGCCACCGUCUACGAGGUUCGACACAGUCUAGGAGGCUUGAAGACUGCAAGGCAGAUCCAAAUGGUCGCGAAGCUUCGGGCGAAAAGCGGUUCAGAACGAAUUGUCACUGACAUCAGCAAGGGUGGUUAUGGGAGCAGCGAUUAAAGCGCGACUAUGUUUGGAGGGAACAAACAUUGCGAAAGAAAAAAAGCGUUUUUUAAUUAAAGCGCGACACAGUUUGAUUCAUUCAACGAAAAUAAAAUUCCUAAUCAAUUUUAUAUACGCAUGGCGAAAAAAGAACUCUACUCUACUUGAUAAUUAUCAAUAAAUACCUUUUUUCAGCGCCCACCGAUAGCGGCGGGCGUUGCUAUCACUUGCAAUGCAAUGCAGCUCUUGAAGUGGACAGAAAGGCGCGCUCGUAAAGUUCACGCCCCCUCACAUGUUGUGUUGCUUUGCUUGUCGACGUUUAUCUGAAUUUGGUGACGGGGAUAGUUUCUGUGUUUCUUAACCUGUUCAGUCAAAAGUAGUGAGUUGUGACCGCCAGAUAGUUGUUCAGUUGCUUUCAUGGGACAGCGCUGGCCGACGGGCUUGGCGUCCGACGAAAGUACGAGCACUCUAGGCCCAAAGCGAACGUCGGCCUCCAAAGAAAGUAUGUUCCGUGCAGUGAUGCGAUUUCGACACCCGUACGUACGGCUGAACUUUUUCCUGCAUCGCUUUCCGCGCUGAAAGCUCGAAUGGAGGGGCAUUUGAAUACAAUAUACAGCUGUAAUGGCAGGCCUUCGGAAACAAAUUUCGCGCCUUUGAGAGCAAAAUGACGCCACCUGUGUUAUAAACGGAUAUGACGUCAAAUUAUUUUUCUUCCGCCGGAAGUGUUCCCUCCUCACACAGAUGGCGCUAAGCCCCAUGAACCGCAGAUGAACCGCCAUGUUUUGAACGUAUGGGCUUCUAUAGAAGCUUCGCUACCAGGUAUAUUUACCUUGGACUGUGGUUCGCAGUGCAGUAGAUGGCCGCGGUCGGUGCUACCACGUCAAGCUGUCGAUAUGAAGAUUUUCGUGUGCGCGCGAUUGUUCACGCAUGCUGUUUCGGCCACAAACAUCGGAGAGUCGCACAGACGCAUUUGGUGCUGAAUUAGUGCGCUAGUGCUACUGCUCGCCACACUAAAGGCCCAACCACAAUGAACAAGUUUACGACAGAUCGUCGCACGACGUCUACCGGUUUUCAUGCUUCGCCAGCCACAUUAGGUGUCUGCGCUGGGAUCUGGCAGGGCCAGACUUCGGCGGUCGAGCGAGCGUUCUUGAAGAAGACGCCGAAAAUCCGUCGGAAACUUGUUCCUUGCGAUUGGGGCGUUAACGCCGUGUCGAUCGGCCGAAGUUUCUCGCUCAACUCGCAAUACGCCCUCCUUCCGUCUUAGUGCUGUUGGAUGACCAGGGCCGGUAUUUUGUUGCGUACGCAAAGUUGGACUCAAACCGCCGGGCUUGUUUAAAAAAGAACGCAAAAAUGUAUUCAAAAGAAUCCCAGAAGAGCACAAAACGCAACCCGGGCGUGGCGCUUUGCGUACGCAAACCCGUUUGCGUCCGCGAAAUCUGAAGCUAUCUCGAGACACGUUCCGCGCCCCUUUCCUUUCCCUAAUGAACUGCGCCAACAAACGUUUGGCACUAGGAAAGCGACGCCAACGCUGCUCUGACGUUGAAAGGACACGUGGUGAAGGGGCAUUCGCAUGAUACCGCUUCUGAUUAGCUGACGGACAGCUGUAGCUUCCACUUGCGUUGUCGUGCACGUUAAAGAACCCCAGGUGGUCCAAAUUAAUCCGGAGCCCUACACUACGGCGUGCCUCAUAAUCAGAACUGGUUUUGGCACGUAAAACCCCAGAAAGAAGCUGUAGCUUCCACUCCAGUGUCGCAUCGUUACGAAACAAUGUAGUAGUGUUGGACCGUAGGCACUGCCAGCUUACAAAAGCUGUUCUGUUUGCUGUUGCGUGGUGCAAGUUGACGCGCUGUCGCAACGACUAUAAUUCGUCUGUUCCAAGUCUCCGUUCUUUGCCGGCUUGCUCCAUAACUACUGGCUAUAUAGUCUCGCCACUGUUCAGUUAACAGCCCGUCAUGGAGGCGUUUAUUCGUUUUUGUCAUGUAUUUACGGUGCCCGAAGAAGAGAGGCUCGCUUAACUCCUCUCUCGAAAAAUUGUCGGUACUCGGGCAACUCUUAACUGCCAGUCCUUGGUCGCGCUGCACUCGGUAAACCUAGGGAUGUGUAACUUCUGGGUGCAUUGCGUCGUGAGAAUGGGAGCCAGGUUGAAGUCGUUGAGGGAGUUUGAUAUGUCUGUCGCUAGGCCAUUAUUUGGAGAAUCGUACAACCCUUCUUUCCUUUCACAAUCUACGAUGUGUUUUUUUUUUUUCUCAAAUACUGUGAGCGAUGCUGCGAACACGUCUGGUGGACGCAAAAACGAUAUACGACGUAGAAGUGGAGUCGGCGUCCGUUUCUGUGUUAUUUCGCGCUUUGUUCAUUUGUUACUUGUCGCGCUGCGAACCCUGCGCAGUGUUUAAACGACGUUCUUCCCCUCAUCAUGCUCUCGUUUCUUUUUCUCCCUCCUCCUCCCUCAUCUCCCAGUGUACUUACGUCCCAACGUUGUGAUAUUCCUGUACGAAUACAUGGUUUGUAUUUUGUUUGUCUCCUGCGUUCCCCUCCGCGCGUUUUUGUAUGUGAGUGUGCGUGUGUGUGUUUAGUGCGUAUCAUACAGACGAGUCUGUGCCAAAAGCUGCUGUAAAUAAACAUUGUGCUCUUUUAA